rnacentral:rRNA from 1 species
GGGUUGUGAGGUUAAGCGACUAAGCGUACACGGUGGAUGCCCUGGCAGUCAGAGGCGAUGAAGGACGUGCUAAUCUGCGAUAAGCGUCGGUGAGGUGAUAUGAACCGUUAUAACCGGCGAUUUCCGAAUGGGGAAACCCAGUGUGUUUCGACACACUAUCAUUAACUGAAUCCAUAGGUUAAUGAGGCGAACCGGGGGAACUGAAACAUCUAAGUACCCGAGGAAAAGAAAUCAACCGAGAUUCCCCCAGUAGCGGCGAGCGAACGGGGAGGAGCCCAGAGCCUGAAUCAGUGUGUGUGUUAGUGGAAGCGUCUGGAAAGGCGUGCGAUACAGGGUGACAGCCCCGUACACAAAAAUGCACAUAUUGUGAGCUCGAUGAGUAGGGCGGGACACGUGGUAUCCUGUCUGAAUAUGGGGGGACCAUCCUCCAAGGCUAAAUACUCCUGACUGACCGAUAGUGAACCAGUACCGUGAGGGAAAGGCGAAAAGAACCCCGGCGAGGGGAGUGAAAAAGAACCUGAAACCGUGUACGUACAAGCAGUGGGAGCCUCUUAAUGGGGUGACUGCGUACCUUUUGUAUAAUGGGUCAGCGACUUAUAUUCUGUAGCAAGGUUAACCGAAUAGGGGAGCCGAAGGGAAACCGAGUCUUAACUGGGCGUUAAGUUGCAGGGUAUAGACCCGAAACCCGGUGAUCUAGCCAUGGGCAGGUUGAAGGUUGGGUAACACUAACUGGAGGACCGAACCGACUAAUGUUGAAAAAUUAGCGGAUGACUUGUGGCUGGGGGUGAAAGGCCAAUCAAACCGGGAGAUAGCUGGUUCUCCCCGAAAGCUAUUUAGGUAGCGCCUCGUGAAUUCAUCUCCGGGGGUAGAGCACUGUUUCGGCAAGGGGGUCAUCCCGACUUACCAACCCGAUGCAAACUGCGAAUACCGGAGAAUGUUAUCACGGGAGACACACGGCGGGUGCUAACGUCCGUCGUGAAGAGGGAAACAACCCAGACCGCCAGCUAAGGUCCCAAAGUCAUGGUUAAGUGGGAAACGAUGUGGGAAGGCCCAGACAGCCAGGAUGUUGGCUUAGAAGCAGCCAUCAUUUAAAGAAAGCGUAAUAGCUCACUGGUCGAGUCGGCCUGCGCGGAAGAUGUAACGGGGCUAAACCAUGCACCGAAGCUGCGGCAGCGACACUAUGUGUUGUUGGGUAGGGGAGCGUUCUGUAAGCCUGUGAAGGUGGCCUGUGAGGGUUGCUGGAGGUAUCAGAAGUGCGAAUGCUGACAUAAGUAACGAUAAAGCGGGUGAAAAGCCCGCUCGCCGGAAGACCAAGGGUUCCUGUCCAACGUUAAUCGGGGCAGGGUGAGUCGACCCCUAAGGCGAGGCCGAAAGGCGUAGUCGAUGGGAAACAGGUUAAUAUUCCUGUACUUGGUGUUACUGCGAAGGGGGGACGGAGAAGGCUAUGUUGGCCGGGCGACGGUUGUCCCGGUUUAAGCGUGUAGGCUGGUUUUCCAGGCAAAUCCGGAAAACCAAGGCUGAGGCGUGAUGACGAGGCACUACGGUGCUGAAGCGACAAAUGCCCUGCUUCCAGGAAAAGCCUCUAAGCAUCAGGUAACAUCAAAUCGUACCCCAAACCGACACAGGUGGUCAGGUAGAGAAUACCAAGGCGCUUGAGAGAACUCGGGUGAAGGAACUAGGCAAAAUGGUGCCGUAACUUCGGGAGAAGGCACGCUGAUAUGUAGGUGAAGCGACUUGCUCGUGGAGCUGAAAUCAGUCGAAGAUACCAGCUGGCUGCAACUGUUUAUUAAAAACACAGCACUGUGCAAACACGAAAGUGGACGUAUACGGUGUGACGCCUGCCCGGUGCCGGAAGGUUAAUUGAUGGGGUUAGCGGCAACGCGAAGCUCUUGAUCGAAGCCCCGGUAAACGGCGGCCGUAACUAUAACGGUCCUAAGGUAGCGAAAUUCCUUGUCGGGUAAGUUCCGACCUGCACGAAUGGCGUAAUGAUGGCCAGGCUGUCUCCACCCGAGACUCAGUGAAAUUGAACUCGCUGUGAAGAUGCAGUGUACCCGCGGCAAGACGGAAAGACCCCGUGAACCUUUACUAUAGCUUGACACUGAACAUUGAGCCUUGAUGUGUAGGAUAGGUGGGAGGCUUUGAAGUGUGGACGCCAGUCUGCAUGGAGCCGACCUUGAAAUACCACCCUUUAAUGUUUGAUGUUCUAACGUUGGCCCGUAAUCCGGGUUGCGGACAGUGUCUGGUGGGUAGUUUGACUGGGGCGGUCUCCUCCUAAAGAGUAACGGAGGAGCACGAAGGUUGGCUAAUCCUGGUCGGACAUCAGGAGGUUAGUGCAAUGGCAUAAGCCAGCUUGACUGCGAGCGUGACGGCGCGAGCAGGUGCGAAAGCAGGUCAUAGUGAUCCGGUGGUUCUGAAUGGAAGGGCCAUCGCUCAACGGAUAAAAGGUACUCCGGGGAUAACAGGCUGAUACCGCCCAAGAGUUCAUAUCGACGGCGGUGUUUGGCACCUCGAUGUCGGCUCAUCACAUCCUGGGGCUGAAGUAGGUCCCAAGGGUAUGGCUGUUCGCCAUUUAAAGUGGUACGCGAGCUGGGUUUAGAACGUCGUGAGACAGUUCGGUCCCUAUCUGCCGUGGGCGCUGGAGAACUGAGGGGGGCUGCUCCUAGUACGAGAGGACCGGAGUGGACGCAUCACUGGUGUUCGGGUUGUCAUGCCAAUGGCACUGCCCGGUAGCUAAAUGCGGAAGAGAUAAGUGCUGAAAGCAUCUAAGCACGAAACUUGCCCCGAGAUGAGUUCUCCCUGACUCCUUGAGAGUCCUGAAGGAACGUUGAAGACGACGACGUUGAUAGGCCGGGUGUGUAAGCGCAGCGAUGCGUUGAGCUAACCGGUACUAAUGAACCGUGAGGCUUAACCUUACAACGCCGAAG